AAAAAGACAAGAAAACAACUAUACCAAAAUUGGCUACGAAUCAGGUGCAAGGGCACAUAAAAGAAGCAGCAAUUAUUUCUGAUCAAAGGAUUAGAGAAGAAUGUGCACAGAAGGUGACACAGAAACUCAGCUUAGAAAAAUGUAUAUUUGCGGGGAGAUAAAGGGGAAGGUAUUACAAUGUGAGGCUGUAUAAGAUUCCAAAGCACAGAGAUAUGAAUGUGAAAGGCUUAAUUUGAGAAAGACAAAAUGUUCAUAGUGACUGAAACUUGUUAGCAGAACUUGCAUAGUGCUAGCUCUAAAGAGAAGUUUGGGCUCGGUUUAGAGGGACUUUGGCUGCCAUACUAGGGAGUUUGGAUUCCAUUCUACAGUGUGGAGGAAGAUUUUUUAAAAGCACCAUUUAGUAAACACUGUGGUUGCCUCCUCAACAUCUAUUCCCUACACUACCCCUAUUGUCCUUUCUAACCAAAUCCAUUUUUUUUUUAAAUCAGAUAAUCCACCUCUCCUUUAUGAGAUUCAGGGGACAAUGAAUUCAUCUCCAUUUCCAAGGAUAGAUCUGUAUUAGCUUAAAUCAGGCAGGCUAACUCAUACUUCUUGUGCUUCCAUGACAGACUCUUUCUGGGUUAUACGUAAUAAAUAUACAUAAACAAUAUUAUACUUCAUUGUCCAGCAUAUACAAGAGGCAAACACAAAUCAGAAAUAUUAUCUUUACCAGUGGUACAUGAGUCCAUUUUUUGUCAAAUAGAGAGCAAUUGCUGCAGUAAUUGCAGUUUAUCACUAAGCCAGAUGCAGGGGUUACUCAUACAUAUGCCUUCUAAUUGUGGGCUACUAUUAAUAGUCACUGGCCUCCUUCUUAAAUUAUUUUCAGUCAUGAGCUUAACUUAAUGUGGUACCAUAUAUUCUUUCUUUUAAGGACCUUAAGAAUCUGGGAAGAAUUAGCCACACUCUAAUUUAGGAACAGAGAUGGAUGAAUCCACCUAUGGACAUUUACUGGUCGGCUCCAAGGCUACACAAGCAGCAAGAAGAAAAGGAAAAACUCUGUUUUAUUAAAGCUCCACUUGCCUAUCUACCUUGGUGGAGGGUCAAGAAAAGGUUUAUAACCUAUUUGCAGGUUUUAGGCUCCUGUUUGCAGCACAGAAACCACAGACAAUAGAAAUUCAGACUCAGUGGUGUGGCAGAAGAUAAAAUAAUUUGGGUUAUUUCUGUGAUAACAUGGGCAAUCUGGAAACUACUCCCAUUUGUGAGGGUAAAUCUCUAUUAUGAUACAUGGAAAAUAGGACAGAUGCUAAUUCAGGUAAGAAAAGGUCUUUGUAUUAUACAAAUAUUUACCUUCAGACAGAAAUGUUAAUGAAGAUGGAGAAGGAACAGUUACCAAGAAACUAGGGAUAGUAGGACACAAAAAACCUGGUAACCUGGUAGUGAGUAUGAACCAGUCUGGUGCCUUGCCUCCAGAGGAGCAGCAACUGAGCAGAGCUACUGGACAACCAGCCCUGCACUUCCCUAGAGCACAGACCAGCUCACUAUGCAGCCACCAAGAGAUAAGCACCGAAGGAGAACCUACCAGCCAUGGAUCCUCAGAAAACAGACCAGCUAAGUGCCCAGCCUUCAGGGGACAAGCAGCUGAGUGGGCAUACCAGCCACACAAACUUCUGCAGCCAAGGCCACUGAGGUACUUGCAGGCACCACUGACAUUAACUACAGCUAAAGAAGCUGCAUGGAGACUACACUACUGCAUCCACCCAGAACAAAAACAAAUGUACCUUACCCAACCAACAUGCUAGGACACAUCUGCAGGUGUAAGUCUUUUCCGCUGAAAGUUAUGCUACCAAGUUAGAAAAGGUGAUUAUUCCAUCAGAUGCACAGAUGCCAGUGCAGGGAUACAAGAAACAUAAAAAAGCAAGGGAACAUGACACCACCAAAGAAACACAAUAAUUCUCUAGUAACUGACCCCAAUAAAAAAAUAAAAAUUUAUGAAUUGCCUGAAAAGGAAUUCAAGAUAGUGAGCCUAAGGAAACUUGGUGAGACAUGAAAGAACACAAACGGAUCAUUCAACAAUCGGGAAAAACAGUUCAUGAUCUGAAUGAGAAAUUCAACAAAGAGAGAGAUAUCAUAAAAAAGAACAAAAUAGAAAUCUUGGGGCCAAGAAAUUCAAUGAAUGAAAUAAAAAAACGCAAUUGAGAGCUUCAACAGCAAAAUAGAUCAAACAGAAGAAUUUUUGAACUUGAAAACAGGCCUUUUGAAAUAGUCCAGUCAGAGGUAAAGAAAAAAAAAAAGGAAUGAAGAAGCCUAUGGCAUUUAUGGGACACCAUAAGUGAACAAAUGUUUGCAUUUUGGCAACUUAAGAAGAAGAGAUGAAGAAAGGCAAAGAAAGCUUAUUUAACAAAGUAAUAGUUGAAAACUUCCCAAGUCUUGGGGAGAUAUGGACAUCCAGAUCCAUGAAGUUCAAAGGAUCCCACAAAGAUUCAACUCAAAGAGGUCCUCUCUGAGGCAUAUAACCAAACUGUCAAAAGUCAAAGACAAAGAAAAAAAUACUAAAAGCAGCAUGAGAAAAACAUCAAGUCACAUAUAAGGGAAUUGCCAUUGGACUAUUAGCAGAUUUCCCAGCAGCAACCUUGCAGGCCAGGAGAGAAUGGGAUGAUAUAUUUAAAAUACUAGAAGAAAAAAAGCUGCUAGCCUAGAAUACUAUACCAGCAAAUCUUUGCUUCAGAAAUGAAGGAGAAAUAGUCUUUCCCAGAUCAGCAAAAGUUGAGGGAACUCAUUACCACUGGACCAGACUUACAAGAAAUGCUUGAGUAUUUCUAUUGGAAAAAAAAGUUUUCAUGAUAAUUGCUACCAUAAAAAAACAUGAAGUAUAAAUCUCACUGCUGGAGAUAAAUGCAUUAUCAAAUUCAUAAUGCUUCAUUACUGCAAUGGUGAUAUGUAAUGUUUCAAACCUCUAGUAUGAAGGUUAAAGGCCAAAACAGCUGGGUGCUGUGGCAUGUGCUUGUAGUCCCAGUUAUUUAGGAGGCUGAAAUGGAAGGCUCAUUUGAG
rnacentral:lncRNA from 1 species